GAGAAAGGAGGAAGUUUUGGCCCGGAUCGAGGGCGGUCGCCAUCGGUUCGAAAAAUCCGUGGCCAUUCAAACCCUUUGACAUAUAACAGCGCGGCGACGGAUGGAUACAGUGACUAUCGAUGCCGAAAUCCAUUUACGGUGAUCGAAGAGUUACAGAUUAUAAUUUCGUGUAACUCCUUCACUGAUUAUUUUCCACCGUUGAUUUCAACCUGUUAAUUGAAAAAAAUAUGCUUAAUCAAUAAGGCUAACCCAUCUCGCGAGAGGGAGGCGCUGGCGCGAGGACGUGGGAGACGGCGGCGCAGUAGCGAGGACCUGGAGGCGAAGAUGCCGGCGCGAGGUCUAGGAGGCGAAGCCCCGGCUGGUCUUGUCGUAGUGGCCGCUGCCCCACAUACGUCUCCGCCGACGCCUCCGUGAGGUUCUGGAGGGGAUGACGCCGCCGCGAGGUAUUGGAGAUCCCGGCUGCGCUCGGUCGUAAUGGUGGAUGAACAAAGGUGUGGCCAUGAGUUCUGCUACUCCUGCGACGCGAGUACAACAACUGCGAACAAGCAUGCUAGUGCAUCUUCUGGGACGAAGACAGUGCCGAGCCCUCGGCAGCGCACUCCUGCCAAGCCUUCGAGAUCUUGGAUAUGGGACACCUUCGACUGCAUGCCCAUGACCGCCGACGGCUACUCGGAGCAGGAGCGGGCGUAGGUGGCACUCAUCCAGCGGUUCCUCGCAAGGGGGUUCAGCCUGCGGCGACCACCACCACUUGAGCCAACAGUCAUCGCCACCAUGCUGCGCGGUGGACUCGUACAUCGUUGACACCAUGAAGGAUCUCCAUGUGAAUGAUGAGGAUGUUAAAGAACAUCGAGUCAUAGAUAUAGCAUUAGAAAGGAGAUACGAAUGGCGCAUAUACUGAUGAUUUUCCGUUCGGAAUAAUGUGUUCUCCCCAUGACAUGACCCUGUCGAAAAUUGAUUUGACAUCAGAAAAAAAUAUGAUAUUAUCACCCUUUGUUUGAUUGAUAA